AUUGAACGCUGGCGGCAGGCCUAACACAUGCAAGUCGAGCGAGCGGCGGACGGGUGAGUAAUGUCUGGGAAACUUCCUGCUGGAGGGGGAUAACUACUGGAAACGGUAGCUAAUACCGCCUACUAUCAGAUGUGCCCAGAUGGGAUGGGCUGGUAGGUGGGGUAACGGCUCACCGGGGCGACGAUCCCUAGCUGGUCUGCGAGGAUGACCAGCAACACUGGAACUGGGACACGGUCCAGACUCCUCGGGGGGGAGGAGGUGGGAAAUUUUGGCAAAUGGGGGAAAUCUGGCUGCAGCAAUGCCGCGUGUGUGAAGAAGGCUUUCGGGUUGUAAGGCACUUUCUGCGGGAAGGCGUUACCCACCCAAGAAGCACCGGCUAACUCCGUGCCAGCAGCCGCGGUAAUAC
rnacentral:rRNA from 1 species